AACGAACGCUGGCGGCAGGCUUAACACAUGCAAGUCGAACGCAUCCUUCGGGGUGAGUGGCAGACGGGUGAGUAACGCGUGGGAACGUGCCCUUCAGUUCGGGAUAACCCAGGGAAACUUGGGCUAAUACCGGAUACGUGCGAGAGCAGAAAGAUUUAUCGCUGAAGGAUCAGCCCGCGUCUGAUUAGCUAGUUGGUGGGGUAAUGGCCCACCAAGGCGACGAGCAGUAGCUGGUCUGAGAGGAUGAUCAGCCACAUUGGGACUGAGACACAGUGAAAACUACGGCGGGAGGCAGGAGUGGGGAAUAUUGGACAAGAGGCGCAAGCCUGAGCCAGACAUGCCGCGUGAGUGAUGAAGGGCUUAGGGUUGUAAAGCUCUUUCGUCCGGGGAGAUAAUGACGGUACCGGAAGAAGAAGCCCCGGCUAACUUCGUGCCAGCCGCCGCUGUAA
rnacentral:rRNA from 1 species